rnacentral:rRNA from 1 species
UAAGACUGGGAUAACUCCGGGAAACCGGGGCUAAUACCGGAUGCUUGUUUGAACCGCAUGGUUCAGACAUAAAAGGUGGCUUCGGCUACCACUUACAGAUGGACCCGCGGCGCAUUAGCUAGUUGGUGAGGUAACGGCUCACCAAGGCGACGAUGCGUAGCCGACCUGAGAGGGUGAUCGGCCACACUGGGACUGAGACACGGCCCAGACUCCUACGGGAGGCAGCAGUAGGGAAUCUUCCGCAAUGGACGAAAGUCUGACGGAGCAACGCCGCGUGAGUGAUGAAGGUUUUCGGAUCGUAAAGCUCUGUUGUUAGGGAAGAACAAGUGCCGUUCAAAUAGGGCGGCACCUUGACGGUACCUAACCAGAAAGCCACGGCUAACUACGUGCCAGCAGCCGCGGUAAUACGUAGGUGGCAAGCGUUGUCCGGAAUUAUUGGGCGUAAAGGGCUCGCAGGCGGUUUCUUAAGUCUGAUGUGAAAGCCCCCGGCUCAACCGGGGAGGGUCAUUGGAAACUGGGGAACUUGAGUGCAGAAGAGGAGAGUGGAAUUCCACGUGUAGCGGUGAAAUGCGUAGAGAUGUGGAGGAACACCAGUGGCGAAGGCGACUCUCUGGUCUGUAACUGACGCUGAGGAGCGAAAGCGUGGGGAGCGAACAGGAUUAGAUACCCUGGUAGUCCACGCCGUAAACGAUGAGUGCUAAGUGUUAGGGGGUUUCCGCCCCUUAGUGCUGCAGCUAACGCAUUAAGCACUCCGCCUGGGGAGUACGGUCGCAAGACUGAAACUCAAAGGAAUUGACGGGGGCCCGCACAAGCGGUGGAGCAUGUGGUUUAAUUCGAAGCAACGCGAAGAACCUUACCAGGUCUUGACAUCCUCUGACAAUCCUAGAGAUAGGACGUCCCCUUCGGGGGCAGAGUGACAGGUGGUGCAUGGUUGUCGUCAGCUCGUGUCGUGAGAUGUUGGGUUAAGUCCCGCAACGAGCGCAACCUUUGAUCUUA